GCCGGGCGCAGUGGCGGGCGCCUGUAGUCCCAGCUACUGGGGAGGCUGAGGUAGGAGAAUGGCGUGAACCCGGGAGGCGGAGCUUGCAGUGAGCCGAGAUUGAGCCACUGCACUCCAGCCUGGGCGACAGAGCGAGACUCCGUCUCAAAAAAAAAAAAAAAAAAAAAGACAGAUUUUCACUGUUGUUGCCCAGGGGCUGGAGUACAAUGGUGUGAUCUCGGCUCACUGCAACCUCUGCCUCCUGGGUUCAAGUGAUUCUCCUGCCUCAG
rnacentral:SRP_RNA from 1 species